CACGUAGGGUGCGAGCGUUGUCCGGAAUUACUGGGCGUAAAGGGCCAGUAGGCGGCCAACUAAGUCCGACGUGAAAUCCCCAGGCUUAACCUGGGAACUGCGUCGGAUACUGGAUGGCUUGAAUCCGGGAGAGGGAUGUGGAAUUCCAGGUGUAGCGGUGAAAUGCGUAGAUAUCUGGAGGAACACCGGUGGCGAAGGCGGCAUCCUGGACCGGUAUUGACGCUGAGGCGCGAAAGCUAGGGGAGCAAACGGG
rnacentral:rRNA from 1 species